GGUCUUUUCUAUGGAAGCUUGCUUCCACUGAGAAGAUAGUGGCGGACGGGUGAGUAACACGUGGGUAACCUGCCCAUAAGAGGGGGAUAACAUCCGGAAACGGGUGCUAAUACCGCAUAGUUUUCUUGAUCGCAUGAUCGAGAAAGGAAAGACGGCCUUUGUGCUGUCGCUUAUGGAUGGACCCGCGGCGUAUUAGUUAGUUGGUGAGGUAACGGCUCACCAAGACGAUGAUACGUAGCCGACCUGAGAGGGUGAUCGGCCACAUUGGGACUGAGACACGGCCCAAACUCCUACGGGAGGCAGCAGUAGGGAAUCUUCCGCAAUGGACGAAAGUCUGACGGAGCAACGCCGCGUGAGUGAAGAAGGUUUUCGGAUCGUAAAACUCUGUUGUCAGAGAAGAACAAGUCGGAGAGUAACUGCUCCGGCCUUGACGGUAUCUGACCAGAAAGCCACGGCUAACUACGUGCCAGCAGCCGCGGUAAUACGUAGGUGGCAAGCGUUGUCCGGAUUUAUUGGGCGUAAAGCGAGCGCAGGCGGUUCCUUAAGUCUGAUGUGAAAGCCCACGGCUCAACCGUGGAAGGUCAUUGGAAACUGGGGAACUUGAGUGCAGAAGAGGAGAGUGGAAUUCCAUGUGUAGCGGUGAAAUGCGUAGAUAUAU
rnacentral:rRNA from 1 species